rnacentral:rRNA from 1 species
AUACGUAGGUGGCGAGCGUUGUCCGGAUUUACUGGGUGUAAAGGGCGCGUAGGCGGGGGUGCAAGUCAGAUGUGAAAUCUAUGGGCUUAACUCAUAAACUGCAUUUGAAACUGUAUCUCUUGAGUGCUGGAGAGGUAGACGGAAUUCCUUGUGUAGCGGUGAAAUGCGUAGAUAUAAGGAAGAACACCAGUGGCGAAGGCGACUUACUGGACUGUAACUGACGCUGAGGCGCGAAAGUGUGGGGAGCAAACAGGAUUAGAUACCCUGGUAGUCCACACUGUAAACGAUGAAUGCUAGGUGUAGGGGGUAUCGACCCCUUCUGUGCCGCAGUCAACACAAUAAGCAUUCCGCCUGGGGAGUACGGCCGCAAGGUUGAAACUCAAAUGAAUUGACGGGG